rnacentral:rRNA from 1 species
GACGAACGCUGGCGGCGUGCCUAAUACAUGCAAGUAGAACGCACAGUUUAUACCGUAGCUUGCUACACCAUAAACUGUGAGUUGCGAACGGGUGAGUAACGCGUAGGUAACCUGCCUGGUAGCGGGGGAUAACUAUUGGAAACGAUAGCUAAUACCGCAUAAUAUUAAUUAUUGCAUGAUAAUUGAUUGAAAGAUGCAAUUGCACCACUACCAGAUGGACCUGCGUUGUAUUAGCUAGUAGGUGAGGUAACGGCUCACCUAGGCGACGAUACAUAGCCGACCUGAGAGGGUGAUCGGCCACACUGGGACUGAGACACGGCCCAGACUCCUACGGGAGGCAGCAGUAGGGAAUCUUCGGCAAUGGACGAAAGUCUGACCGAGCAACGCCGCGUGAGUGAAGAAGGUUUUCGGAUCGUAAAGCUCUGUUGUAAGAGAAGAACGGGUGUGAGAGUGGAAAGUUCACACUGUGACGGUAUCUUACCAGAAAGGGACGGCUAACUACGUG